rnacentral:rRNA from 1 species
AUGGGGAAGAAGGGCAAGCGGCGGGGCGAGGCUGCCGCUACGGGUGCGCCGGAGGAGGCUCCCGCGGUAUCCGCUGCCGCUUCUGAUUCAGCCACGCCGAGGAGGAGCAGGCGACGGGGCGGCGACGCCAGGGCCGCGCAGGAGGCCUCCGCCACUGUACACGCACUGGAUCCCGCCGAUGCAGGGAAGGGGACAACGGACAGGGAAAAGAAGCCUAAGCUCAACGAACGAAAGAAGAAUAAGAGGGAGCAAUCUCCUUGUGCUGCUGCAUCGGGUGCUGAUGCUGCCGCCACGGGUAAAUCAGGUGAUGACUGCACUGAUGGGGAAGGUGUUCUAGGAGACUCUGAAGUUCACAAGAAAAGAAAAAGGAGUAAGAAGAUUACGCAGGAGCCAUCCUCUUCUACUGUGUCUGAUGACAACGCUAUUGAGGUAAACAAAUCCGGAGUUGGCUGCAAAAAUGUGGAAGAUGUACCAGGAGAUGAUGAAGCUAGUAGGCGUCCCAGAAAUGAAGAGGAUCUAGGCUUUUCUGCUGCAAACAUUGCAGAGCAGGAUGUACCCAAGGGUAAGAAGUCCAAGCUGGGGAAACGGAAUAAGAACAAGCAUGAACCAUCCUUUCCUGCUGUAGUGGAUGCCGCCAUUGUGGUUGGUAAAUCUGAAAGUGACAGCACAGAUGGGAAGGGUAUUCCAGGAGUUGCUGAAAUUAGUAUGAGUGCCAGAAAUGGAGAGGGUCAAGACUGUCCCGAGGUAAACAUUGUGGAGGAGACACUGGAGAGGAAGGAGCCUGAACCCAGGAAAUGGAAGAAGAAUAAGCAUGGGCGAUCCCCUGCUGCUGUGUCUGAUGAUGGUGCUGUUGAGGCAGACAAAUCUGGAAAUGUUGGCACGGAUGGGGAUGAUGCUUUGGGAGAUGCUCAAGUUAGUAUGAGCACAGUAGAGGAUCCAUGCUGUCCAGAGGCAAACAUGGCAGAGAAGGGGACACAGGAGGAGAAGAAGCGUAAGCCCAAGAAACGAAAGAAUAACAAGGAAGGAUCCCCUUCUGUUGUACUUGAUACUGGUGCUGUUGUGGCAGAUGAAUCUGGAAUUAGGUGUAUGAAUGGUGAUGGUGCACCACAGGAUGGUGAAGCUAGUAUUAGCCCUAGAGAUGGAGAGGACUCAAAAUGUCCUGGAGUAGACUUUACAGAGAAGGGGGUACCAAAGUUGAAGAAGAAUAAGCUCAACAAAUGGAAGAAGAAGAACCAGGAGCAAUCCCCUUCUACCUUGUUGGAUGCCGGUGAUGUUGUGCCAGAUAAAUCAGGACGUGGCAGCACAAAUGUGGAAGCUGCAUCCAGAGGUGGUGAUGUUACUACGAGUCCCAAACCGGAAGAGGGUCCAGAAUGUCCCAAUGUAAACAUAACUGAGCAUUUGGUGAAGGAAAAUAAAGUGAAUGAAGACUACUCUCAGGAACCUAAGCUCAAGAAACAGAAGAAAUGUAAGCAAGAUCAAUCCCCUUCUGCUAGACCAGACACCAGUGCUGUUGUGGUGGAUAAAAUUGAAAAGGGCUACAUAGAAGGCGAAGGAGGGGAAGGUCUACCAGGAGAUACUGAAAUCAGUAUGAGUCCCAGAAAUGGAAAGGGACCAGAUUGUCCUGAGGUAAACAUAGCUGAAAAUUUGGUGGAGGGAAAGAAUGAGAAUAACGGCAACUCUCAUAAGCCUAAGCGGAAGAAACGGAGAAGGAAGAAGAGGGCUCAAGUAGCUGUUACUGAGGCACCUGCGGUGGGUGAUGUCAGCUCAGAUGAAAGGAACGAUGUGUGUAGAACAGGUACCGUGAAGGUUACAGGAAGUAUGGGAUACUCAAUAUGUGAAUCUGAGGUUACUGCAAAAAAUGUUGUCCAGGACAUGUACUCACCAGGAGGAUCGCUUGUAAGGUUUCAGAGGAAAAAACUUCUUAUUCUUGAUCUUAAUGGUCUGCUUGCGGAUAUCACUCCAAUCCACCGCAACUCUCGAGACUCUCGCUUGGCACAUGCAAAAGUUCGAGGCAAAUAUGUCUUCAUAAGACCAUACCAUGACGAUUUUCUGAGAUUUUGCUUCCAGAACUUUGAGCUAGGGGUAUGGUCGUCGAGAAUGAAAGUAAAUGUGGAUGAUGUUGUCGAUAUCCUUAUGAAAGAUCUCAGGCGACACUUGCUAUUCUGCUGGGAUGCAUCUCACUGCACUGCUACCAAGUGUAAUACUCUUGAGAAUCAAUGCAAACCCUUAGUAUUGAAGGAACUAAAGAAACUGUGGAAUAAAGAGGACCCUGAUCUUCCGUGGGAGCAAGGGGAAUUUUCACCUUCGAAUACUUUGCUUGUGGAUGAUUCCCCUUACAAGGCUCUGUGCAAUCCGGUACUGAGUUGUACCCUCUGCUCCUAUUGUGUUCCACACACUGCCAUUUUCCCACAACCCUACAGCUACCAUAACAGGACGGAUAAUUCAUUGGGACCAGGUGGAGAUCUUCGUGUGUAUCUAGAGAACCUUGCUGCUGCAGAUGAUGUUCAGCGUUAUGUUCAGGAGCACCCUUUUGGUCAACCUUUCAUUACUGAGAGUGAUCCGAAUUGGGAUUUCUAUGCAAAAAUACGUGACAGACUGGAGAAGCCAGAAAAGUGUGCCGCUUGA